rnacentral:rRNA from 1 species
GAUGAACGCUGGCUACAGGCUUAACACAUGCAAGUCGUGGGGAAACGGCAUUAUGUGCUUGCACAUUCUGGACGUCGACCGGCGCACGGGUGAGUAUCGCGUAUCCAACCUGCCCCUUACUUGGGGAUACCCCGUUGAAAGACGGCCUAAUACCCGAUGUGUUUCAUUGACGGCAUCCGAUAUGAAACAAAGGUUUUCCGGUAAGGGAUGGGGAUGCGUCUGAUUAGCUUGUUGGCGGGGCAACGGCCCACCAAGGCGACGAUCAGUAGGGGUUCUGAGAGGAAGGUCCCCCACAUUGGAACUGAGACACGGUCCAAACUCCUACGGGAGGCAGCAGUGAGGAAUAUUGGUCAAUGGACGCAAGUCUGAACCAGCCAAGUAGCGUGCAGGAUGACGGCCCUAUGGGUUGUAAACUGCUUUUAUGUGGGAAUAAAGUGGCGCACGUGUGCGCCAUU